UACGAAGGGGGCUAGCGUUGCUCGGAAUCACUGGGCGUAAAGCGCACGUAGGCGGCUUUCUAAGUCAGGGGUGAAAUCCUGGAGCUCAACUCCAGAACUGCCUUUGAUACUGGAGAGCUUGAGUCCGGGAGAGGUGAGUGGAACUCCGAGUGUAGAGGUGAAAUUCGUAGAUAUUCGGAAGAACACCAGUGGCGAAGGCGGCUCACUGGCCCGGUACUGACGCUGAUGUGCGAAAGCAUGGGGAGCAAACAGG
rnacentral:rRNA from 1 species